UCGAGAACUGACCGAGAGACCACGAACCUGUAAACGGAAGACACCGUGUAGGUCGGGCAUUAUGCCUGUCUUAUGCAGGACCUCACAUCUUGUCCGUAGCUGCCUCCUGGCAUUUCGGACAUGAUUUACGGGGGACGAACAAAACCCCGGCGCGGCCUGUGCCAAGGAACAUAUGUCAGGACGGAUGCGCGUCAACGCCUCUGUGGUGGGGCGACGUCCGCUCUAUAUC
rnacentral:misc_RNA from 1 species